AUUGAACGCUGGCGGCAGGCCUAACACAUGCAAGUCGAGCGGAGCGGCGGACGGGUGAGUAAGGCCUAGGAAUCUGCAUGGUAGUGGGGGAUAACGUCCGGAAACGGGCGCUUAUACCGAAUAAUAUAAAAUCCGCCUAGGUGGGAUUAGAUAGUUGGUGGGGUAAAGGCCUACCAAGGCGACGAUCCGUAACUGGUCUGAGAGGAUGAUCAGUCACACUGGAACUGAGACACGGUCCAGACUCCUACGGGAGGCAGCAGUGGGGAAUAUUGGACAAUGGGCGAAAGCCUGAUCCAGCCAUGCCGCGUGUGUGAAGAAGGUCUUCGGAUUGUAAAGCACUUUAAGUUGGGAGGCGUUACCAACAGAAUAUUCCCCGGCUAACUUCGUGCCAGCCGCCGCGGUAAUUC
rnacentral:rRNA from 1 species